CAAGCACAGAAGUUUCUGUGUAGUGUUGCAUAUUUCAGGAUCUAAGAGAUCUAGGCGAACUGGUGCUUGAGAACAGAUGACCCUAAAUAUUUCAGAGUAGCAGAUGCAAGGUCAAGGCAGACCUGCCUGGUAGCCCACCCACACCACGCCCCUGCAGCCUAUGAUUGGCCUGGAAGUCCAUCACCCUGUCCUGGAAAGCACUAAGUGUGUUACAUGCUGAGCAUGUCACCAUACAGCAUGGGAUGAAGAACACAAUCCUUUGACCAUUUGGCAUCAGCUGUCCCAGUUGUGCCGCCUCCCAACUCCUUGUGCACCCCCAGCCUGCUCACUGAUGGGGUGGGGUGAGAGGCAGAAAAGCUCCUGACUCUGUGUAAGCACUACUCAGCAACAGCUAAAAUGUUCCUAUGUUAUCAACACACUUUUCAUCACGAAUUCAAAAUAUAACACCAUACAAACUCCUAGGAAAAAAAUUAACUCUAUC